GACGAACGCUGGCUGCGUGCUUAACACAUGCAAGUCGAGCGGAAAGGCCACUUCGGUGGUACUCGAGCGGCGAACGGGUGAGUAACACGUGAGUAAUCUGCCCCUGGCUUUGGGAUAGCCACCGGCAACGGUGAUUAAUACCGGAUACGACCACUUCUCGCAUGGGAUGGUGGUGGAAAGUUUUUUCGGCCAGGGAUGUGCUCGCGGCCUAUCAGCUUGAUGGUGAGGUAAUGGCUCACCAUGGCUUCGACGGGUAUCCGGACUGAGAGGGCGACCGGUCGAACUGGGACUGAGACACGGCCCAGACUCCUACCGGAGGCAGCAGUGGGAAAUAUUGGACGAUGGGCGGAAGCCUGAUCCAGCAACGCCGCGUGAGGGAUGACGGCCUUCGGGUUGUAAACCUCUUUCAGCAGGGACGAAGCGCAAGUGACGGUACCUGCAGAAGAAGCACCGGCCAACUACGUGCCAGCCGCCGCAGUAA
rnacentral:rRNA from 1 species